CCUACGGGUGGCAGCAGUGGGGAAUAUUGGACAAUGGGCGAAAGCCUGACCCAGCCAUGCCGCGUGUGUGAAGAAGGCCUUCGGGUUGUAAAGCACUUUCAGUGGGGAAGAAAGCCUUGGGGCUAAUACCCUCGAGGAAGGACAUCACCCACAGAAGAAGCACCGGCUAACUCCGUGCCAGCAGCCGCGGUAAUACGGAGGGUGCGAGCGUUAAUCGGAAUUACUGGGCGUAAAGCGCGCGUAGGCGGUCUGAUAAGCCGGUUGUGAAAGCCCCGGGCUCAACCUGGGAACGGCAUCCGGAACUGUCAGGCUAGAGUGCAGGAGAGGAAGGUAGAAUUCCCGGUGUAGCGGUGAAAUGCGUAGAGAUCGGGAGGAAUACCAGUGGCGAAGGCGGCCUUCUGGACUGACACUGACGCUGAGGUGCGAAAGCGUGGGUAGCAAACAGGAUUAGAUACCCCGGUAGUC
rnacentral:rRNA from 1 species